UGUUGCUGAUGACAUACCUGAAGGCUUGUUUCUCAAAACAUUUGCAGUGGCCGCCUGAGAGCUUUCUCCUUCGCUAGGCUUGAGAGCUUGUGUUGCUUUUAUCCUUCCCUGGAUAUCUGAGACC